GUGCUAUGGAGGACCUGCUUACUGCUAUGAGGUGUUACUUUAUAGAGGUCCUGGAGAAGCUGAUUGAGGCCACGUCAGUGUUGCAAGGAGACAUGAGACUCACAUCAGAGUUCUAUGGCUUAACAUGGGAGAUGGUGUGAAAAGAACCAGAGAUCCUUGGGGAAAUGUCUGAUUCUAAGAUAUUUCUAAGGCUGGUGAAAACAUAUAUAAGAUAAGCCUGGAGGAGAAGGACCAGUAAUACCAGAAAUCAAGGAGGGGCCCUGAAGAGAAAAGGAUAGCAAAAGGAUGAAGACCUGUCCAAGACCCAGCAGCCAGCAUGAAAGAGCUCUCAAUGGGGAAAGCUGGAACAAUUUCAACAACAAAAUAAAUAACAUAUCACUGGAUUAUAA
rnacentral:lncRNA from 1 species